ensembl:lncRNA GUCY1B2 guanylate cyclase 1 soluble subunit beta 2 (pseudogene)
AUAAAAGCCCAAUAUUGGGAGGAGCCAAGAUGGCCGAAUAGGAACAGCUCCGGUCUACAGCUCCCAGCGUGAGCGACGCAGAAGACGGGUGAUUUCUGCAUUUCCAUCUGAGGUACCGGGUUCAUCUCACUAGGGAGUGCCAGACAGUGGGCGCAGGUGACUGAGGACCCAACAGUGUGCUCCUUGCUUGGAGGCUAGUGAUGAGCUCCUAAUUUCACUGUGGACUGCCCAGAUUUCUACAAGACAGGCUUCUGGAGACGCUGUGGAUUCUCUCCUGAGUGACUAGGGGCUGGCAGGAAGGGCGGGCGCUUGGUGCUGCAUCUCAAUCCCUGUGGCCCCAGGAGCAGCUGCGGCAGGAACAUGUAUGGAUUUAUCAACACCUGUCUGCAAUCUCUUGUGAUAGAGAAAUUUGGUGAAGAAACAUGGGAAAAAUUGAAAACUUCUGCAGAAGUACAAGAUGCCUUCAUGACCUACACAAUGUAUGAUGACGUCAUCACCAUUAAGCUCAUCCAAGAGGCCUGCAACAUUCUGGGUGUCUCCAUGGAAGCCAUCCUGAAACUCUUUGGAGAAUACUUUCAAUUCUGAAGAUGUCUGGCUAUGACAGGAUGCUACGGACACUGGGAGGAAAUCUCAUGGAGUUUAUUGAAAACCUGGAUGCCCUCCACAGUUACCUGGCACUCUCUUAUCAGGAGAUGAAUGCACCAUCGUUUCGUGUGGAGAGAGGAGCAGAUGGGAAAAUGUUUCUCCAUUACUACUCGGAUAGAAGUGGUCUGUGCCACAUUGUACCAGGCCCUCCAGGCAGCUUUCCUCAAGAUGAAGGAGAAAUAUUUGAAUGUCUCUGCUUGUCCUGUGAAAAAAUCCCACUGGGAUGUUGUGAGAAGCAUAGUCAUGUUUGGAAAAGGGCAUCUCAUGAACACCUUUGAGCCAAUUUAUCCUGAGAGACUCUGGAUUGAAGAGAAGACAUUCUGCAACGCUUUUCCUUUCCACAUUGUAUUCGAUGAAUCACUACAGGUGAAGCAAGCCAGAGUGAACAUUCAGAAGUACGUACCAGGACUCCAAACCCAGAAUAUUCAACUGGAUGAGUAUUUCUCCAUCAUUCAUCCUCAAGUUACCUUCAACAUUUUCAGCAUCCGCAGAUUUAUCAACAGUCAAUUUGUCCUGAAGACACGAAGAGAAAUGAUGCCUGUAGCAUGGCAAAGUCGGACUACACUCAAACUUCAAGGCCAGAUGAUCUGGAUGGAGUCCAUGUGGUGCAUGGUGUACCUGUGCUCUCCGAAGCUCCGCAGCCUGCAAGAGCUGGAAGAACUCAAUAUGCAUCUUUCUGACAUCGCCCCCAACGACACCACCAGGGAUCUCAUCCUCCUGAACCAGCAGCGGCUGGCUGAGAUAGAGCUGUCCAACCAGCUGGAAAGGAAGAAGGAGGAGCUACAGGUCCUCUCCAAGCACUUGGCCAUUGAAAAGAAGAAAACAGAGACCUUACUUUAUGCCAUGCUGCCCAAACACGUGGCCAACCAGCUGAGGGAGGGCAAAAAGGUGGCUGCAGGAGAAUUUAAAAGCUGCACGAUUCUUUUCAGCGAUGUAGUGACAUUUACUAACAUCUGUACUGCCUGUGAACCUAUACAAAUAGUGAACGUGCUGAAUUCCAUGUACUCCAAGUUUGACAGAUUAACCAGUGUGCACGCAGUCUAUAAAGUAGAAACAAUAGGAGAUGCUUAUAUGGUGGUAGGAGGUGUACCAGUGCCUAUUGGAAACCAUGCUCAAAGAGUGGCUAAUUUUGCCUUGGGGAUGAGAAUUUCUGCAAAGGAAGUGACGAAUCCUGUUACUGGAGAACCCAUCCAGGUAGAGAGCAACUGAGUACUUGGCUUAAUGCCAAACAUCUCACACACAAAAGUAGAAUUCUGCUUAUGUGCUU